rnacentral:ncRNA from 1 species
GGUCAAGCGAACAAGUGCAUGUGGUGGAUGCCUUGGCGAUCACAGGCGAUGAAGGACGCGGUAGCCUGCGAAAAGCUACGGGGAGCUGGCAAACAAGCUUUGAUCCGUAGAUGUCCGAAUGGGGAAACCCACUCCUUUUGGAGUAUCCAUGGCUGAAUACAUAGGCCAUGUGAAGCGAACGCGGUGAACUGAAACAUCUAAGUAACCGCAGGAAAAGAAAUCAACCGAGAUUCCCAAAGUAGUGGCGAGCGAAAUGGGAUGAGCCUUGCACUCUUUAUUUGUAUUGUUAGCCGAACGCUCUGGAAAGUGCGGCCAUAGCAGGUGAUAGCCCUGUAGGCGAAAACAGUAUGAAAGAACUAGGUGUGCGACAAGUAGGGCGGGACACGUGAAAUCCUGUCUGAAGAUGGGGGGACCAUCCUCCAAGGC